rnacentral:rRNA from 1 species
UACGUAGGGUGCAAGCGUUUAAUCGGAAUUACUGGGCGUAAAGCGUGCGCAGGCGGUUUUGUAAGUCUGUCGUGAAAUCCCCGGGCUCAACCUGGGAAUUGCGAUGGAGACUGCAAGGCUAGAAUCUGGCAGAGGGGGGGUAGAAUUCCACGUGUAGCAGUGAAAUGCGUAGAGAUGUGGAGGAGCACCAAUGGCGAAGGCAGCCUUCUGGGCCAACACUGACGCUCAUGCACGAAAGCGUGGGGAGCAAACAGG